rnacentral:piRNA from 1 species
UGAUAAUAUUUGGAGAUUCUGUUGUGU